CGGAGCAACGCCGCGUGAGUGAUGAAGGCUUUCGGGUCGUAAAACUCUGUUGUUAGGGGAGAACAAGUACAAGAGUAACUGCUUGUACCUUGACGGUACCUAACCAGAAAGCCACGGCUAACUACGUGCCAGCAGCCGCGGUAAUACGUAGGUGGCAAGCGUUAUCCGGAAUUAUUGGGCGUAAAGCGCGCGCAGGCGGUUUCUUAAGUCUGAUGUGAAAGCCCACGGCUCAACCGUGGAGGGUCAUUGGAAACUGGGGAACUUGAGUGCAGAAGAGAAAAGCGGAAUUCCACGUGUAGCGGUGAAAUGCGUAGAGAUGUGGAGGAACACCAGUGGCGAAGGCGGCUUUUUGGUCUGUAACUGACGCUGAGGCGCGAAAGCGUGGGGAGCAAACAGGAUUAGAUACCCUGGUAGUCCACGCCGUAAACGAUGAGUGCUAAGUGUUAGAGGGUUUCCGCCCUUUAGUGCUGCAGCUAACGCAUUAAGCACUCCGCCUGGGGAGUACGGUCGCAAGACUG
rnacentral:rRNA from 1 species